ACCGUCGAAGGCCCCAACGCAGGCACGCAGCCUUGAUCCCCUCCUUCCUCCCCGCCACCGCCACCGCCACCGCCACGAACUCCUACUCCGACACGAACUCUGCUCAAGCCCGCUCCCAUGGUUCCCGACAUCGACAGCGACUCUUUACCCGUCCCGCAAGCCGAAGGCACCACCUACAGAAAGGACUCGAGUCCCUCGAUCGAAACCCUAGAUCAGACCGGAUCCCGGCGGCGCCACGACAGGUUGCCGGCCUGCAGUCCUCCUCACGGGACAAGCUGCGUUCGCGGUGCGCUCUCGCUGCCCGCCGGCUUCGACGAUGUGGGCCGGGGCGCCGCCCUUCCGCAGAUCCGCCGCCUCCCCUCGACGUCCACGGCUCUGCGCUCUUCCGUGUUCUCUCCUACCGCAAGUUGUGGGCCGCUACGCCGCUAUCUGCCGGUUCCUCGUACAAGAGCGAUGGACAAACUGAGCCCUGUGGGAAGCAAUCGCAUCAGCUCAACGACGUCCAGCGUUUCUCCUCUCUAUGUUUCUUUGCACGCCUAUCUCCAAGCACGAAGCCGCGACGAGAUAGGUUCAUGAGGCUCAUGAGCUUGAGCUCAUCAACAAGCGAAGGAUUUCUAUUGCUGGUUCUUUAAAGACAUUGGCUAAUAUCCUUUAUUUUCAUACCGUGGGAUGCUACUUCCAAUCGGUACAAUGAUUGUUGGAUUUGAUGGAUCUGGUCCGGUCUUAGUACUAUGUUGAUAGCGAGGGUGCUUGGUUCAAGGGAAGCAGCCGGUUCUCUACUUCUUUGUAUGCUUAUAUGGUAUCUUGGAUGAGGGUUACAAAUUCAACAUGUCAGUUGAGGAAGCUGCUGAGUUAGCACGGUGGGCUUUUAUCACACAACAUUAUGUGACAUGACAAAGCUAAUGGUGGCUGUGUUCGUGGUGAUAGAAGAGAUCCAUGCUUACAAACUUUUGGGAUAACCGAGUUUGUCAAUGCCAAGAAAAUAAUCAUCAGGUUUUCAAGUGUAGGCAUCGUGUGAAAGCCCAAUUAGUGUUCCUGGUUCAUGAAUUUAAGAACACAUUCUCAUCUCCCUGCUGUCUAUGUUCCAUUGUUUUAGAUUUAAAAGUGCUUUAGAUGAUUCUUGAUGCCCUGUCCAACCUUUCCAUUUCAGGCAUCACUUCUAAGUUGUAUGGCAUCCACGAAUUUCCUGAUAGUUUGUUCUGCACCAGGCUGCCUCAUGUAGGAUUUUGGCGCUCAUGAUCUACCUUGAUUAGCUGACCUGCUCCCAGGCCUACUUCCCCUCCCCUCUGACCUCUCUCCCUCUAUGUAUGAUGUUUGAUAUGUGUUUUGGUUCAAAUUUGAGCUUAGCAAGAGAAUAGCAUCUCUGUAUAAAUUUUAGAGCUUAGUUUUUUGCAUAUGCAUGUAACAGCAACUCUUUUGUGUUCUGGUCUUAAAUAUCUUAUUCAUGAUACAGUAAUCUGCACCAAGCUUACUAUGUUGAAUUUCGGUAAGGGCAAUCCCUUUGUUUAUGCAUCUUCUUUAACAAAAGAACGAUAUUUGGGUUAUCAUCUGAGAUGUGCUUGAUUAAUGUCUUCCAGGCAAUGUAUGAUGCCAUUUGCGACCUUCUUCUUGAGCAAGCUGAAACAGGAGUAACUCCAUUAAUCAUUAUGUAGGAUGUGUGCACUUGUUUCCAUUGUACCUAUUUUGGAAGCUGUGGUAGCGCAAUAGGCUUUACCAGCGCUUGCAUACUUGCGUGAGGUCGCAGAACAUAAUAGUCUGGCGCAUCCUGCUAUGUACAUAACAGUGUGAUACAACACCUAUAGAAAUUGCUGCAGACUAUUGAAGAAGAGAGCCUGUGGAGAUUGGACGCGGAGUAUGUGAACUCGAGUGCACAGGAGUUCGUUAUCUGUCCCGUUCGGUACUGCGCUGUGAUUCGGUGCAUUGAAUGCUCGCAACAGGCCCGUGGUCGACCAGGAAUUUGGAAAUUGAGAUAUACGUAGAGGUGCAGACCUGACUGGUGGGCAAUAGCUCUGACGGACGUUGGGCCGCCGUCGACUGAUCGGAGGAGAGCCAUGGCUCGGGACGUCGGUGCCGUCCCGAUCCAUGGUUCAGAAUUGUUGCUUUUUCGGUAGUAUCGACAGUGAUCGAGUAAAUGCAGGGAUGGGUAGAUGCAAGCAACUGUCUCCUACCUUACGAGACUAGAUCUUUCUUCUCUUGAGGUCGGUGAUCCGGAGGAGGCAAGUGCGGCUGCCGGAGAAGAUGGACUUCUUGAUGCAACCGAUUAACAGUAGUGUUUUGCUGUAGGAGGUGAACGACAGUGACAAACCCAUGGAGCCCCUCUGGUACCCAGUGAUGGCGCAGCUUCGCGGCCAGAUCUGUGAGACGGAAGUGGCGGCGCAGCACCUGGUCGAGAUCGACCCCAAGCCUCAGAGCAAAUCCAUAGAGCACAUCGACCCCAAGCCUCAGAGCAAAUCCAUAGAGCAGAUCGACCCCAAGAGUCCAGGAUGGACGCGUAGGGGAAGCAUAUAGUGGAGAACACAAGAUCCUGUCGUGGCGAAUGCCCUGCUCUCAUAAGACUUUUGUGUUCGAAAGACAACAGGUGGUACAUAGCCGAGCAUAGGGAGGAGCACAACCAUUCACUGUCUCCCACUUUUGGGCAGACAAUACACUGGCCUUCACACAAGCAUAUUGAUGUAUACGGCGGGUAUUUGGUGAAAUAGCUACGGUAGAACAACUGAACCUUGCCAAGGUGUACAACAUUAUUGGGAGUUUCUUCGGGAGGAUGGAGAACGUGCCUCUCACAAAGAGCCUUGCGGAAUAUAUGCGGUAAAAUUAGCCGUGAACAAGCCGAAUAUGAUGUUAGAAAAACAAUGGAGGUGUUUCAGGAACUUGGUUCAAAAGAUCAAUCAUUCACAUAUCAGGUUCAAGUUGACAAAGAGGGGAGGAUCAACAAUUUGAUGUGGGCUAAUGGGAACAGUAGACUCCAGUACACUUCUUUGUAGAUGUUGUCACCUUUGAUACAAUGUACAUACCAACCUGUAUGACAUGCUGUUUGGUCUAUUUGUUGGAGUGAACAA